rnacentral:rRNA from 1 species
ACUAUAGCAAGGAGGUCACACCUGUUCCCAUGCCGAACACAGAAGUUAAGCUCCUUAGCGUCGAUGGUAGUCGAACUUACGUUCCGCUAGAGUAGAACGUUGCCAGGCAAGAAAUGGAUGCGAUGAGCCGCAUUGAGACCGCAAGGUCUCUUUUUUUAUGUCUAAAGUAGCAAAGUAAAAAAGUAAAGACAAAGAAAGAUGGCUUGGCGAAGUGNNNNNNNNNNNNNNNNNNGAGGGGCCCCUCUCGGGUUACCGAAUUCAGACAAACUCCGAAUGCCAAUUAAUUUAACUUGGGAGUCAGAACAUGGGUGAUAAGGUCCGUGUUCGAAAGGGAAACAGCCCAGACCACCAGCUAAGGUCCCAAAAUAUAUGUUAAGUGGAAAAGGAUGUGGCGUUGCCCAGACAACUAGGAUGUUGGCUUAGAAGCAGCCAUCAUUUAAAGAGUGCGUAAUAGCUCACUAGUCGAGUGACACUGCGCCGAAAAUGUACCGGGGCUAAACAUAUUACCGAAGCUGUGGAUUGUCCUUUGGACAAUGGUAGGAGAGCGUUCUAAGGGCGUUGAAGCAUGAUCGUAAGGACAUGUGGAGCGCUUAGAAGUGAGAAUGCCGGUGUGAGUAGCGAAAGACGGGUGAGAAUCCCGUCCACCGAUUGACUAAGGUUUCCAGAGGAAGGCUCGUCCGCUCUGGGUUAGUCGGGUCCUAAGCUGAGGCCGACAGGCGUAGGCGAUGGAUAACAGGUUGAUAUUCCUGUACCACCUAUAAUCGUUUUAAUCGAUGGGGGGACGCAGUAGGAUAGGCGAAGCGUGCGAUUGGAUUGCACGUCUAAGCAGUAAGGCUGAGUAUUAGGCAAAUCCGGUACUCGUUAAGGCUGAGCUGUGAUGGGGAGAAGACAUUGUGUCUUCGAGUCGUUGAUUUCACACUGCCGAGAAAAGCCUCUAGAUAGAAAAUAGGUGCCCGUACCGCAAACCGACACAGGUAGUCAAGAUGAGAAUUCUAAGGUGAGCGAGCGAACUCUCGUUAAGGAACUCGGCAAAAUGACCCCGUAACUUCGGGAGAAGGGGUGCUCUUUAGGGUUAACGCCCAGAAGAGCCGCAGUGAAUAGGCCCAAGCGACUGUUUAUCAAAAACACAGGUCUCUGCUAAACCGUAAGGUGAUGUAUAGGGGCUGACGCCUGCCCGGUGCUGGAAGGUUAAGAGGAGUGGUUAGCUUCUGCGAAGCUACGAAUCGAAGCCCCAGUAAACGGCGGCCGUAACUAUAACGGUCCUAAGGUAGCGAAAUUCCUUGUCGGGUAAGUUCCGACCCGCACGAAAGGCGUAACGAUUUGGGCACUGUCUCAACGAGAGACUCGGUGAAAUCAUAGUACCUGUGAAGAUGCAGGUUACCCGCGACAGGACGGAAAGACCCCGUGGAGCUUUACUGUAGCCUGAUAUUGAAAUUCGGCACAGCUUGUACAGGAUAGGUAGGAGCCUUUGAAACGUGAGCGCUAGCUUACGUGGAGGCGCUGGUGGGAUACUACCCUAGCUGUGUUGGCUUUCUAACCCGCACCACUUAUCGUGGUGGGAGACAGUGUCAGGCGGGCAGUUUGACUGGGGCGGUCGCCUCCUAAAAGGUAACGGAGGCGCUCAAAGGUUCCCUCAGAAUGGUUGGAAAUCAUUCAUAGAGUGUAAAGGCAUAAGGGAGCUUGACUGCGAGACCUACAAGUCGAGCAGGGUCGAAAGACGGACUUAGUGAUCCGGUGGUUCCGCAUGGAAGGGCCAUCGCUCAACGGAUAAAAGCUACCCCGGGGAUAACAGGCUUAUCUCCCCCAAGAGUUCACAUCGACGGGGAGGUUUGGCACCUCGAUGUCGGCUCAUCGCAUCCUGGGGCUGUAGUCGGUCCCAAGGGUUGGGCUGUUCGCCCAUUAAAGCGGUACGCGAGCUGGGUUCAGAACGUCGUGAGACAGUUCGGUCCCUAUCCGUCGUGGGCGUAGGAAAUUUGAGAGGAGCUGUCCUUAGUACGAGAGGACCGGGAUGGACAUACCUCUGGUGUACCAGUUGUCGUGCCAACGGCAUAGCUGGGUAGCUAUGUGUGGACGGGAUAAGUGCUGAAAGCAUCUAAGCAUGAAGCCCCCCUCAAGAUGAGAUUUCCCAACUUCGGUUAUAAGAUCCCUCAAAGAUGAUGAGGUUAAUAGGUUCGAGGUGGAAGCAUGGUGACAUGUGGAGCUGACGAAUACUAAUCGAUCGAAGACUUAAUCAA